AUCUCCGACGAUGAUCACAAGAGUAACUUUCGUUCUUCCGAGGGUGGCGAUGAUCGCCAUCUAUGCGGAAAAACUUAUGGAGACCUGAACUGAGGAGAC